ensembl:lncRNA
AAAAUGUUUACAUUGGUUACGUUCUGAAUAUGUUAUUGUAAUAUGUCCACAUUGGUCAUCUUCAAAAGCUUAAUUUCUGUGUCAUAAAAAAGAGUGUUAUUAGAAAGAUGGUUUUGGUACCAAACCACAGUGAAGAACAUAAGGUUUUAUGUAACUGUGAUAUUUAUUACUGCUCUUUUUCUGGUGUACAAAAUGUAUUCAUGCCAUCUAAUUGUAUGGGUCUUCUAACAUUGUUUAUGGUAAAAAAAAACAAAAACCUUUUGAUUCAGGUAUUUGCCCUUCUCUUAUGCUCCAGCCACCUAUGAAAAUAGGCACACUUGUAUGCUGAUAUAUUUUCCUUAGAUGACAUCCUAUAAAAAGCUACUCAGGGAUUCAACCACAAGAACAACUAUCAUUGGCAAUAAUAACAGUUUAUAUUUUUAUUCCAAAAUGCUUAUAUCCAGGUAAAAUUAUAAUAGUUGAGUUCACUACUCCUCUUACAAUGCUAAUGUUAUUGAUCUUCUCUUCUGGGUGUUCAACAACCAAAGUUUAGAGACCAAAACUAAAGAGGUAUCUGGGCUAAGAAGGCAGCCAAUAUUUUGGCCCUGGCCCUCCAAGGUCAACUACAACAAUAAGAUCCAGGACAUAAGGGAACCAUCUCCAAGUUCCUACAUUUUUGGUGAGUCACCCAACCUCCUGAGCAGGGAGGUUGCUGAACACCAAAACAGUAAAAGAUCCAACAGAAAGUGUGCCAAAGGAAUGUCACCUGGAGAAAAAAAAUCUCCCAUGCUUUCGCAGGAAGCAACAUGGUCAAGCAAGGCCGUGACAUAUCCUGAUGGCUGACACUGACAGAGGAGCUAAGAGCCUCUAUACAUGGUUCCAAGACAGCGCCUACAGAGAUUCAAUUGACCUUGUUAGAGAGCAAGAGGUUGAUUUAUUUAAUAUAGGUCUCACCGUAACUUGGUCUUAAACACCCAAUGGAAAAGUAUAAAUAAAGACAAUAGUUAUUUGAGUUCAAAAAAGUUUUAAGUUUUUAAGCCCAAUGUUUAAAACAAAUUGUUAGAUUUUUAAUCCUUUUACAGCCCCAAUGGAGAGAAAUUAUGCUUAUUAUAGACAGCUAAGCCGGGAGAUUUGGUUUUUAUUCACAAGUUUGGUUCCAAGACCCUGAAACCUCAUUGGAAGGGACCGGGUCCUAUUGUCCUGUCAACUCCCUUGGCGGUAAAGAUGGCUGGACAUUCUGCCUGGAUACAUCGCAACCAUCUAAAACCAGGACCCCCCACGGACAUCAAAAAGGACAAAUGGAAGAUUAUCAGCCAACCGGGCAACCAAAAGCUAAGAUUGGAGGAUUGAACUCGGGACCUUGCAUUUGCGCAGCAGGCGGCAGAACCACUGAGCUAAAGGCCUGGCCCUAGAUUCAUAUUUUUUCAAGACAAAUUGAAAAAUGAAGAGAAGGGGAGACUUCCCGGAAGAUCACAGAGUGGUGAACAGCAGAGAAACAGCCUCUCCAAGAUUUGGUGUCCAGACCCUGGAAUAUAGCAACAUGAGGAAGACAGGAAGGAGGGAAGUGGGGCCUCAGAACCCAGCAAGAAUCUGAAGUGAGAAUUGAGGCCCACGAGGACAGCCAAGAGAGCGAUUUCAAUGCAGAAGAAGGAGAUGGCAAGUGGCACUUUCUCCUUGAGCCCUGACUCAUUGUGUGGGAAGGGAGGCUCAAACCUGCAGACACAUGGUGACUACUGGUAAGCCCAGAGCCCUCCAUGGAGAAAUGCGCCCCAGAACAGAGCAUUUGACACAGCAGACUGCAGUGGCUGGUGAGUUAUUCGAGUUCAGACAUCCUCAGGAGAGGGUGAUUGGCUGGUCACCAUCUUGGAGAGGAGCCGACUGAGCUGGAACUCAGAGCAGCUGCAGGCGGACUCCAUCAGGGUAGGCUGAACCGAGUUCAAGUCAGCAGGAAGUCAAGGAGCCAAGUUCAAGCUGGCAGAAAUACAGAGUGUUGCAGCUGAACAAAUCGGG